GACGGAAGGUGCAAGCGUUGCUCGGAAUCACUGGGCGUAAAGGGUGCGUAGGCGGGUCUUUAAGUCAGGGGUGAAAUCCUGGAGCUCAACUCCAGAACUGCCUUUGAUACUGAGGAUCUUGAGUACGGGAGAGGUGAGUGGAACUGCGAGUGUAGAGGUGAAAUUCGUAGAUAUUCGCAAGAACACCAGUGGCGAAGGCGGCUCACUGGCCCGUAACUGACGCUGAGGCACGAAAGCGUGGGGAGCAAACAGG
rnacentral:rRNA from 1 species